CACCACGUGCUUUUCAUUCCCAUCGUUCAAAAGAAUUGAGACAAGAUCUUCAAUUGGCUCAUCCCGUUCUUCAGCAAGGUCGUCGCGGGUGUCUAAUCCAUCAAUCGGACAAGGGUCAGACUGACCAUUUCUUUGUAAGGCUAUGUUAUAGCAGUGUCUUUCCAGGACUUGAUCUCCUCCGACCUCUCUGACCCCUUGG
rnacentral:lncRNA from 1 species